rnacentral:rRNA from 1 species
AGGGAAUAGAUACCCGGGUAGUCCACGCCCUAAACGAUGUCAACUAGUUGUUGGGGGAGUAAAAUCCCUUAGUAACGCAGCUAAACGCGUGAAAGUUGACCGCCUGGGGAGUACGGUCGCAAGAUUAAAACUCAAAGGAAUUGACGGGGCCCGCACAAGCGGUGGAUUAUGUGGAUUAAUUCGAUGCAACGCGAAAAACCUUACCUGGCCUUGACAUGCCACUAACGAAGCAGAGAUGCAUUAGGUGCCCGAAACGGGAAAGUGGACACAGGUGCUGCAUGGCUGUCGUCAGCUCGUGUCGUGAGAUGUUGGGUUAAGUCCCGCAACGAGCGCAACCCUUGCCAAUAAUUGCCAUCAUUCAGUUGGGCACUUUAUUGGGACUGCCGGUGACAAACCGGAGGAAGGUGGGGAUGACGUCAAGUCCUCAUGGCCCUUAU